CCGGUUCCGGUUCACACCGUCGAUCCCCGACGGUGACCCGGCGACC
rfam:Gordonia rhizosphera NBRC 16068 DNA, contig: GORHZ025.